rnacentral:rRNA from 1 species
CGAAUGCUGACAUAAGUAACGAUAAAGCGGGUGAAAAGCCCGCUCGCCGGAAGACCAAGGGUUCCUGUCCAACGUUAAUCGGGGCAGGGUGAGUCGACCCCUAAGGCGAGGCCGAAAGGCGUAGUCGAUGGGAAACAGGUUAAUAUUCCUGUACUUGGUGUUACUGCGAAGGGGGGACGGAGAAGGCUAUGUUGGCCGGGCGACGGUUGUCCCGGUUUAAGCGUGUAGGCUGGUUUUCCAGGCAAAUCCGGAAAAUCAAGGCUGAGGCGUGAUGACGAGGCACUACGGUGCUGAAGCAACAAAUGCCCUGCUUCCAGGAAAAGCCUCUAAGCAUCAGGUAACAUCAAAUCGUACCCCAAACCGACACAGGUGGUCAGGUAGAGAAUACCAAGGCGCUUGAGAGAACUCGGGUGAAGGAACUAGGCAAAAUGGUGCCGUAACUUCGGGAGAAGGCACGCUGAUAUGUAGGUGAAGCGACUUGCU